rnacentral:rRNA from 1 species
GCGGACGCUGGCGGCAGGCCUAACACAUGCAAGUCGAACGAACUCUUCGGAGUUAGUGGCGGACGGGUGAGUAACACGUGGGAACGUGCCUUUAGGUUCGGAAUAACUCAGGGAAACUUGUGCUAAUACCGAAUGUGCCCUUCGGGGGAAAGAUUUAUCGCCUUUAGAGCGGCCCGCGUCUGAUUAGCUAGUUGGUGAGGUAAAGGCUCACCAAGGCGACGAUCAGUAGCUGGUCUGAGAGGAUGAUCAGCCACAUUGGGACUGAGACACGGCCCAAACUCCUACGGGAGGCAGCAGUGGGGAAUCUUGCGCAAUGGGCGAAAGCCUGACGCAGCCAUGCCGCGUGAAUGAUGAAGGUCUUAGGAUUGUAAAAUUCUUUCACCGGGGACGAUAAUGACGGUACCCGGAGAAGAAGCCCCGGCUAACUUCGU